UUCACCAGACAAGCCAAAACUGCUUCACCAGCUCUGGUCUGUGAAGCAGAAACUGAGAGUGAAGUUAGACUUUACACAGCUGCAACUUUAAACUGGGCUGAACUCAUCACAUCCCCACAGCACCAGUUUCACCCAAAGGACAGAGGCUGAACGUGAAACAGCUCCUGACAUCAGGACAUGGAUCCACAGCGAUGCAGCUCAGAAAGAGCACACUGAUUUGCUCUGCAGCCUAGGUGCGUGUGUGUUUGCGGGUGUUAGCAUGUGGACUAAUCCUAUAACAGAAGCCCCCUGUCAUGAGAAAGUACUCAGAGACUAAUGCAAUUACAGACGGAGAAAGAAACAGAGCUUCAGUGCCUUAUUUCCUCAGCUGGGAUCACGUCCGUGAAUCGGCGCUGGAAAAACUCUCAUCACUCAUCUCACGUCGUCAGAAUAAGACAGAUUUACAUGCUGAGUGUCUCUGUUAGUCACGAGGAUUCAUCCUCUGGGGAACGUGAUCUUGCCAGUCUGCAGUGAAGUGGUGGAUCAGCAGAGCGUCCACAGAACUGUGCUGCUCGAAUGUUUAACACCUGAAUAAUGUCUUAUCUCUACAAACUGUUCAACAAUCCAACGUCACUGCUUUCAGAAGAUCUUAACAACAAGCGUUUUUAUCUUAACUUGAGUCCAGCUGCUCUGUAAUUCUUCUUCUUCUGUGGUGGAAUCUCCCUGUGAGGCUCUAAACUGAGCCAACGAUCCUCACGUUGUCUGCAUGUGGUUUUCAACAGACGGCAGACCACUGAAUGAAAGGCACAUCACCAACCGCCUGCAAACAGAAAGCAGGGCACAAGAAGACCGCAACUACCUACAGGUCCACAUGAAAUCAUAAACCUGAUCGCAGGUCAGCAGACAAUCUGUCUGCAAGACAGCAUGUUCAAUGUUUACCUGACGGUCUGUAGGUUUACCUACAAGAUAUUGUACACCUGUAAAUCUGCCCACACGCAUGAAACUACCUACAAGUCUGACUCCAACAUCCACCUGUAGAUCUAAACGGUCAGCAGAAAAGUUUUUUUUUCCUCUUUCACUAAUAUUUACUGGGGGGUUAAACCUCGCGGCUCGUGUUCGCGCAUGUUGACAGGAUGUGGCCUCGCGCUCUCAGUGACUCACCUGUGUGAAGUUGCUUCUCUUCUCUGUCUUCGCCGGUGGAUAAAAGCGUCCUCGGUCCCACCGGAGACGAUCACACCUGAAGAGACGGAGCUCAGCACCGACAGCAGCUCCUCCUCCUCCUCCUCCUCUUCCUCCGCGGCGGCUCACUCUCCGCUCAUCGCUUCAGCUUCGGCGCCAACAAACUAAAAGCCAGGAGAGUGAGUGACAGACCUGGACCAGGACCACGACCCCGACCAGGACCACACCCUCCGGUCCCAGGUCAGACUGUGGUCACACCGCUCCCUGCAGCAGCUGAACUGCAGAGUUCCUGUUGUGUCUCCGGGCCUCCUGCAGAGGAGAGCUCCCCCACCUGGUGGACAGAGGCGGUAACAGAAGGAUUACUCUACGGGGGAAUCACCUCAAUGCACUAAACUGACAGGAUUCAAACAGUCGUUCAUGCCACAGGCGCUGAAAUGGUCCAGACCUGCAGGGACUGGACGUCUCCUCUGAAAGCUGCCAGCAGGACGUUCAUGAUCUGGUAUCCCUGCAGAGGAGAGGAGGCCUUUUAGAGACAGUCCUGCUGAUCUCAUUGAAAAGCAGUGAUAAACUGGUCUGGGAUCAGAGAUAACCUCAGAUUCAGCCUUCCACUGUCUGUAGGCCAGAAUCUGCCUGAACGGAGUCCUGAUGUCAAAACUGUGCAGCUGAAAGGCUGAAAUCAGCUCCUACAGACACAGAACUCCAUGUUGGAGGUGUUACCUGGCAGAAGUGGACUGCCCUCCAGGGAUUUCCACAGGCAUCUAACUCCGGAGAAAAUGCCAUCAGACCCAAAACACCUGGAACCACAG